AUGUCAGCCGCCGCGGUAAGACGUAGGAGGCGAGCGUUAUCCGGAGUUACUGGGCGUAAAGCGCGCGCAGGCGGAUUGUUAAGUUACUUAUGAAAGCUCCCGGCUAAACUGGGAGAGGUUGAGUGAUACUGGCAGUCUUGAGUGGAUGAGAGGUUAACGGAAUUCCGCGUGUAGUGGUGAAAUGCGUAGAGAUGCGGAAGAACACCAGUGGCGAAGGCGGUUAACUGGCAUCCAACUGACGCUCAGGCGCGAAAGCAUGGGUAGCGAACGGGAUUAGAAACCCCGGUAGUCCAUGCCGUAAACGAUGCAUACUAAACGUUCGUUAUCCGAGAGGGUAGUGAGUGUUGAAGCUAACGCGAUAAGUAUGCCGCCUAGGGAGUACGGUCGCAAGGCUAAAACUUAAAGGAAUUGACGGGG
rnacentral:rRNA from 1 species